GACAGAGGUGCCGAGCGUUAGGCGGAAUCACUGGGCUUAAAGCGUGUGUAGGUGGAUGCCUAAGUACCUUGUGAAAUCCCACGGCUUAACCGUGGAACUGCUUGGUAUACUGGGUGUCUUGAGCCAGCUAGGGGCUACCGGAACAAAUGGUGGAGCGGUGAAAUGCGUAGAUAUCAUUUGGAACGCCAAUGGUGAAAACAACUCGCUGGGGAAGUGCUGACGCUGAGACACGAAAGCCAGGGGAGCGAACGGG
rnacentral:rRNA from 1 species